rnacentral:rRNA from 1 species
UACGAAGGGGGCUAGCGUUGCUCGGAAUCACUGGGCGUAAAGGGUGCGUAGGCGGGUCUUUAAGUCAGGGGUGAAAUCCUGGAGCUCAACUCCAGAACUGCCUUUGAUACUGAAGAUCUUGAGUUCGGGAGAGGUGAGUGGAACUGCGAGUGUAGAGGUGAAAUUCGUAGAUAUUCGCAAGAACACCAGUGGCGAAGGCAGCUCGCUGGGACGGUACUGACGCUGAGACGCGAAAGCGUGGGGAGCAAACAGG